CAGUUUUGUGUUAGUUACAAUCAAAUAGAUAUAUGUGGCGACGUUUUAUUUCUGUAAAUCGGGCCAGUGUGAAGAAGUGUACCGGGACAUUGGAAAACCUAUGGCCAUUCCAGCGGACACUGUAAGGAAAAACAAGAACCGAUAAAAGUCCCACGGCGAUACCUAAGGUGCAGAGUCUCUUUCAGUCUACAAACGUCAUAACGAGUCACAGUGAACGUGUAGCUUAUUUCCGGAAGCACAGGACUCGAGGCAGCGCACGCUACUGGCGGAAUACCAGUGCAUCUCUACUGUUUUGGUCAAAGACUGUGUCAUGGUGGCGAUACACGGGCGUUUUGCUGGGUGCAGUAUAUCAUUCAACCACAAGAUGGCAAUAAAUGAUAACGACAGGGAAAGGCAGCAAACAAACUGACGCUGAACCGUGAAUUUCCAGACAGCGAAACUCUUGUAGCAUAGUGACGUUGACACGCUCAAGCAGCAUAGAUCACAUUAUUACCGUAUGCAUGAUUUCAUCAGGUGACCAUGAAAACACGAAAGCUUGCUAAGAAUGUUGCUGUACUUUACCCCAGGGCUAAAACAUAUUAUUUAACACUAAUCUGGAAACACAGGGCUGGAAUACGUUCUCUGUUUAAUUGUUUUUAAUGUUUUAGUAAUUAAAAAAAAGAAUGCUUCAUUAUAGUCCACAUUCCAGGUAUUAUAAUAUACUUUGCCUUAAGUAUUGUAACAGGAUUUCGUGGCAUAGUUCCCUCUAAUGGUCUGAUGGUCUUUUAGUUGUGUAUAAAACAAAAACAUAUUUACAGACAUGAGUUUAGUGAGCCCAACCCCCCCACAUCAGCGUCAUAUAUUUUCCCAUCUCUGCUUUAUUCACCAUGUUAUGAAACUUGCCGGAUGUAUUACAUUUGAAAGCACAUUGUGUUUGAAUUUCUAAGAGGGUCACUGCUGCACAUGGAGUUACACAAGUCCGAGCACUUUUUAUGUGAGCAUAUGAUUCGGAUAGUCAAUUGUGUAGGUUAAAGUUUUUACAAACAGGUCAGUUGAAUAAAUUGCUCUGGUUACACGAUAUGGUAGAUUUUGUGUUGAUUUUCCAGUAAUCACAGUCAGCCAGCAGCCCUUUAUUUGCCUUCAUUGCCCUUUGAAGUGAAAACACUGGCCGUAAGCCAAUCCAUUCAUUAUCAUUUAUGCUCCUUUUACAGUGAUGACUUUCUUUUUCAGUGUAGAAUUCGGCUUCAUUUGAUCGAAACUAGCGGCUGUGCCCACAACUCCUUCUGAUGAAUGGAUUGCGGAAGUAUGGAACAGACGGGGGGCAUCUUCACUAAACUGAGGGUGAAAGAGACGAGAAGUUGUGCGAGGUGUUUGUGUGACUGUGGAAAACAUUUUAGACAUCAGGUCAGAGGAGUAGGCAGAUGGAGAGCGGGAUGCAGCGUUUCCUGCAAAAUAGCCGAGGGAAGUCAGCAGUUGGCGGAGAUUCUCAGAAAAACGUACCGCCUCGGGGGGGGUGGGGGCAUUGAGGUCCGCUGUCAUCGCUGCGUCAGAUGCAACAAAGAACUUCGCUCACUGCCUCCAAACUAAGGCUCAAAAUGACAUGUAUGCUUAUUGCAGUACUGCAGCCAUUUUUUGCUCCAGAAGUACUGAUUGCAAACUUAAUCUUCUCUCAAAAUGAGAAUCAUUUUACAUUACAUACUCCGUAUUGUACUUCCUGACUGGCAUUCAGCUAUUGAUCCAGUACAGGGUCAUGGAAAGCAUGACAGGAAUUCCAGGCAGCACGGCCCACGAGACAGGAACACCCUGUGGUGUUUCUACUUCACCUAAUCACAAUAUGAGCUAUUCUCCUUUUGCAUUUUCAGGAUUGCUGGGUAAUUUUCCAUGAAUCAUCAUAUAAGUUGCAUUAGAGGUAUUAUUAUGGAAUGUUUACCAGAGGUAAAUUCUCAAAUAAUUGCUGACGGGAAAGAUUACUAACUGUCCAGCCAAAACUUGCGUAUAGAUAUAAUGAAAACAUACAGUAGGUCAUGUGACCUUCACACGCAACUAGCUUUUUAACAGGGAGACUAGAGGUUGACUGGCCAUCUGGCAUGUCAGGCAUUUUCCCAGUGGGCCAGAGAGUAUGGUGGUGGGGGGGGGGUGUUAGUAUGUGUGAUCCCACAACCCCCCCCCCUCCCCCAAGUCAGCAAAAGUCCAGGAAUGAUUUUUAUCCCUUGUCUAGCCUUGAGGGAGUCACACUUUUCUCACAAACAAGAGAGUCAUCAUGAAACUCUGUUGUGCAAGAGCUGAAGCAAGAGGUUACUUAGAGAGUUCAGUCUGUCUGAACUGGCUGUUUAUCCUCGGUUAUCAGCUGUGUGCUCAUUGCCACUAGCCCCCCGAUGAAUGUGUACCCUAUUGAUCCCCCUGCUGUGACACAUUCCCGGAUUGGGGUUAUCGAACAAACCCAGUGACUACCACUGCUGGCUUCAUCAACAUAGCCCCAAACGGGAAAUACUGUGUUCUGUCACCCCCAUGGAUGUUUCCUGGACAACAUUCUUAUCCUGGAUGCCCAGCAUGUUUGCUUUGGAGUAGUGCAUGUGAUUCUAGGACUGAAAGGGUUGUUUUUUUCAUAUGAUUUUCUUGUCUAUCAGUGCUCACUUCUGAUUUGCGGAUGCCUUACCUCUAUAAGUGUUGAAGCCUCACUGUAAGGUUUUUAGUUGUGCUUGUAUGCCUGAACACUAUUUGUCACGAGGUCAGUCUGAUAAGGUGAAGUGACUUGCUAGAAUGACCUGACUGGUUAUUGUAGGAGA